GCCUUCGUAGCUCAGUUGGUUAGAGCACCUGACUCUUAAUCAGGGUGUCCUGGGUUCGAAUCCCAGCGAGGGUA
rnacentral:tRNA from 1 species